rnacentral:rRNA from 1 species
ACGAACGCUGGCGGUGUGCUUCACACAUGCAAGUCGAACGGUAAGGCCCUUUCGGGGGUCCACGAGUGGCGAACGGGUGAGUAACACGUGAGUAACCUGCCCUCAUCUCUGGGAUAACAGUCGGAAACGGUUGCUAAUACUGGAUAUGAGCUUGCAAGGCAUCUUGUGGGUUGGAAAGAUUUUUUUUGGUUGGGGAUGGACUCGCGGCCUAUCAGCUUGUUGGUGAGGUAGUGGCUCACCAAGGCUUCGACGGGUAGCCGGCCUGAGAGGGCGACCGGCCACAUUGGGACUGAGAUACGGCCCAAACUCCUACGGGAGGCAGCAGUGGGGAAUAUUGCACAAUGGACGGAAGUCUGAUGCAGCAACGCCGCGUGCGGGAUGACGGCCUUCGGGUUGUAAACCGCUUUCAAUUGUGACGAAGCGUUUUUGUGACGGUAGCAGUAGAAGAAGCACCGGCUAACUACGUG